CAGCCGCCGCGGUAAUACGGAGGGCGCGAGCGUUGUCCGGAUUCACUGGGCGUAAAGCGUGCGCAGGCGGCCCGUUAAGACAGGUGUGAAAUCCCUGGGCUCAACCUAGGAAUUGCGCUUGUGACUGGCGGGCUCGAGUACGGUAGAGGGGGGUGGAAUUCCUGGUGUAGCAGUGAAAUGCGUAGAGAUCAGGAGGAACACCGAUGGCGAAGGCAGCCCCCUGGGCCUGUACUGACGCUCAUGCACGAAAGCGUGGGGAGCAAACAGGAUUAGAUACCCUGGUAGUCCACGCCCUAAACGAUGGGUACUAGCCGUUUGGUGCGCGAUAGCGCUGAGUGGCGAAGCUAACGCAUUAAGUGCCCCGCCUGGGGAGUACGGCCGCAAGGUUGAAACUUAAAGGAAUUGGCGGG
rnacentral:rRNA from 1 species